rnacentral:sRNA from 1 species
CUAAUGGGCCUGGAGUUAGAAUUCCUCGACUUCUCCCAGCCUCAGAGCAGGUGCAACACAGCCCAUGGCCGUACAACCUUCCUUCAAAGACUCAUUAAUAUUCUUCAACUCUGGUCUGAAGAGAUCAGCUCUGGGGACAAAAGGGGAAUUGAGUCUCCAUGGCCAAUUCACUCCUUGGCCUCC